CAAAAAAAAAAAAAAAGAAAAAGAAAGAAACAGCUUAGGGACCAAGAUGAGCAGCAGAGGGGGGCAAGGAGAAGAAUGCAAAAAUAAGGCAUAAAGGGCCCCUACCACAAGCAGCCCGCUUCUCCACAUCGUUACUGAUCUGGACCCUGCCAAUCAAGCCAAAGCACUGACCCACAAUUUAAAUAGGACUUUGUCAUUUUAUAUGAAUUGUAGGAAAAGAGAAGGGCUCACCCGUCAGUAGUUGGCCAGUCACAAUCCAGUUCCCUAACACAAGAAAAUGACAGACUUUCUUUUCUACUUGAUUGCCUUCUUCACAGUGUGAAGUAGAGUCAUGCACCACAUCAUAACAUUUUGGCCAACUACAG
rnacentral:lncRNA from 1 species